AUGUCCAUCGUCAAGCGUGCUUUGGGCUUCGGCGGCGGCUACGGCCAGAGCAAGCCCGUGAUAAGCUACCACACCCAGAACUCCGACUCGGUGACCACCGUCGUGACCGAGAUCAGCCACAUGAGCCUCAACGGGAAGCAGGCGGCGUACAACGACGCCGGCGCCGUGCAGAAGACGGCCUCCCUGACGGAGCUGUGCAGCGAGGAUGCCGAAGUGCAGAAGCACUGCUACGGGCAGCAGGCGUACGGGAGCGACGUCGGAGGGUUCGACGCUCUCGUCUGCGACAGCGCCGCGCAGAAGCACGGCUACGGCGGCGAACAGAAGGCGUCGUCGUACCAGCAUGAAAGCGGCGCCGGAGGCUACAGCGCCCUUCACCACGAAAGCUCCGUGCAGAAGCACGGUGGCUACGGCGGGCAGAAGGCGUCGUCGUACCAGCAUGGAGGCUACGACGCUGCCAGCCACGACAGCACCGGCGCCACGCAGAAGUAUGGCUACGGUGAGCAGAAGGCUUACCAGCAUUAUGGGGCCGAGGCCCACCAUGACAGCUCGGCGCAGAAGCAUGGCUAUGGCGAGCAGAAGGCGUACGGUGGUCACCACCAGGACAGCAAGGUCCAGAAGAGCGGCUACGGCGGCGAGCAUACGGCGUACCAGCAUGAAGGCAAUCUCAAGGGGUACACCGCUCUCCACCAGGACAGCAAGAUCCAGAAGCAUGGCUACGGCAAGAAGGCGCACGGCUAUGGCGAGCAGAAGGCGUACGACUGCACGGUCCAGAAGCCCGGCUACGGCGAGCACAAGGCGUACGAGCAUGGGAGCGCCGCCGCCGCCCUCCACCACGACAGCUACGGCGUCGUGAAGAAGCACGGCUACGGCGGCGAGCAGUACCAGCAUGGCGCUGCAGCGGGAGAGUACGACGCCGUCCACCACUACAACAGCUCGGUGCAGAAGCAAGGCUACGGGGAGAAGGCGUACCAGCACGGGAGCGACGCCGGAGGGUACGGCGGUGUCCACCACGGCAGCGCGACGCAGAAGCACGGCUACGGCGCUGGGCAGAAGGCUUACGCACACGAUGCUGAUGGCGGAGGGUACACCAUUUUCUACCACGGCGGCGUGGCGCAGAACGCGUCGUACAAAGGGUGCGCCGCCGGCGUCGCCGGGUACGACACGCUCGUCCAGAAGCAGCACGGGGACGGGGGCUACGGCGGCCUGCAAAAUGCGUACCCGCGGCAAGGGUGCGGCGUCGGCGGCGUCGCAGGGUAUGAUGCUCUUGCCCGCCGUGAGAGAGAGAAGCAGCGGUGUGAGAGCGACGAAGAGAGCGAGGAGGAGAGCGACUGCGAAGAGGAGGAGGUGGUGGGCCUUGCGGCGCCCGGCGGCACGCAGUACUACGCGGCGUACGAGCGCCACCAGCAGCUCGGCGGCGGCGGCUAUGGCGGCGGGUGCGCACAGCCCAAGAAUCACAGCUACUACUGA
rnacentral:rRNA from 1 species